GUGGAUUAGAUACCCUAGUAGUCCACGCCGUAAACGAUGGGUACUAGGUGUGGGAGGUGUCGACUCCUCCCGUGCCGUCGCUAACGCACUAAGUACCCCGCCUGGGGAGUACGGCCGCAAGGCUAAAACUCAAAGGAAUUGACGGGGGCCCGCACAAGCAGCGGAGCAUGUGGUUUAAUUCGACGCAACGCGAAGAACCUUACCUGGGCUUGACAUGUCAGUGACCGCCGUGGAAACACGGUUUUCCUUCGGGACACUGUCACAGGUGGUGCACGGUUGUCGCCAGCU
rnacentral:rRNA from 1 species